rnacentral:rRNA from 1 species
AGAGUUUGAUCCUGGCUCAGGAUGAACGCUGGCGGCGUGCUUAACACAUGCAAGUCGAACGGACUUAUCUAGAAGCUUGCUUCAGGAUAAGUUAGUGGCGGACGGGUGAGUAACGCGUGGGUAACCUGCCCUAUACAGGGGGACAACAGCUGGAAACGGCUGCUAAUACCGCAUAAGCGCACAGGACCGCAUGGUCCAGUGUGAAAAACUCCGGUGGUAUAGGAUGGACCCGCGUCUGAUUAGCUAGUUGGUGAGGUAACGGCCCACCAAGGCGACGAUCAGUAGCCGGCCUGAGAGGGUGAACGGCCACAUUGGGACUGAGACACGGCCCAAACUCCUACGGGAGGCAGCAGUGGGGAAUAUUGCACAAUGGGGGAAACCCUGAUGCAGCGACGCCGCGUGAGUGAAGAAGUAUCUCGGUAUGUAAAGCUCUAUCAGCAGGGAAGAAAACAAUGACGGUACCUGACUAAGAAGCCCCGGCUAACUACGUGCCAGCAGCCGCGGUAAUACGUAGGGGGCAAGCGUUAUCCGGAUUUACUGGGUGUAAAGGGAGCGUAGACGGCGUGGCAAGUCUGAAGUGAAAGCCCGGGGCUCAACCCCGGGACUGCUUUGGAAACUGUCAUGCUAGAGUGCAGGAGAGGUAAGUGGAAUUCCUAGUGUAGCGGUGAAAUGCGUAGAUAUUAGGAGGAACACCAGUGGCGAAGGCGGCUUACUGGACUGUAACUGACGUUGAGGCUCGAAAGCGUGGGGAGCAAACAGGAUUAGAUACCCUGGUAGUCCACGCCGUAAACGAUGAUUACUAGGUGUCAGGGAGUCAGACUCCUUGGUGCCGCACCAACGCAAU